rnacentral:rRNA from 2 species
AACUGAAGAGUUUGAUCAUGGCUCAGAUUGAACGCUGGCGGCAGGCUUAACACAUGCAAGUCGAGCGGGGGAAGGUAGCUUGCUACUGGACCUAGCGGCGGACGGGUGAGUAAUGCUUAGGAAUCUGCCUAUUAGUGGGGGACAACAUCUCGAAAGGGAUGCUAAUACCGCAUACGUCCUACGGGAGAAAGCAGGGGAUCUUCGGACCUUGCGCUAAUAGAUGAGCCUAAGUCGGAUUAGCUAG